rnacentral:rRNA from 1 species
UACAGAGGGGGGCAAGCGUUAUUCGGAAUUAUUGGGCGUAAAGGGCGCGUAGGCGGCUUGGCAAGUGGAUGGUGAAAUCCCUCGGCUCAACCGAGGAACUGCGCUCUAAACUACCGUGCUUGAGGGAGAUAGAGGUGAGCGGAACUUAGGGUGGAGCGGUGAAAUGCGUUGAUAUCCUAAGGAACACCGGUGGCGAAAGCGGCUCACUGGAUCUUUUCUGACGCUGAGGCACGAAAGCUAGGGUAGCGAACGGG